rnacentral:rRNA from 1 species
GAAUAAUCUGGAAACAGGUUAGCCGUAAGGCAAAUGUGAAGGUGCUGCAUGGUUGUCGUCAGCUCGUGCCGUGAGGUGUCGGCUUAAGUGCCAUAACGAGCGCAACCCUUAUCUUUAGUUACUAACAGGUUAUGCUGAGGACUCUAGAGAGACUGCCGUCGUAAGAUGUGAGGAAGGUGGGGAUGACGUCAAAUCAGCACGGCCCUUACGUCCGGGGCUACACACGUGUUACAAUGGGGGGUACAGAAGGCAGCUACCUGGUGACAGGAUGCUAAUCCCAAAAGCCUCUCUCAGUUCGGAUCGAAGUCUGCAACCCGACUUCGUGAAGCUGGAUUCGCUAGUAAUCGCGCAUCAGCCAUGGCGCGGUGAAUACGUUCCCGGGCCUUGUACACACCGCCCGUCAAGCCAUGAAAGCCGGGGGUACCUGAAGUACGUAACCGCAAGGAGCGUCCUAGGGUAAAACUGGUAAUUGGGGCUAAGUCGUAACAAGGUAGCCGUACCGGAA